rnacentral:rRNA from 1 species
AACGAACGCUGGCGGCAGGCUUAAUACAUGCAAGUCGAGGGGUAGCAAGAUUGUAGCAAUACAAUUGUUGACGACCGGCAAACGGGUGCGGAACACGUACACAACCUUCCUACAAGUGGGGAAUAGCCCAGAGAAAUUUGGAUUAAUACCCCGUAACAUAACGAUGUGGCAUCACAUUGUUAUUAUAGCUUCGGCGCUUCUUGAUGGGUGUGCGGCUGAUUAGAUAGUUGGCGGGGUAACGGCCCACCAAGUCUACGAUCAGUAGCUGAUGUGAGAGCAUGAUCAGCCACACGGGCACUGAGACACGGGCCCGACUCCUACGGGAGGCAGCAGUAAGGAAUAUUGGUCAAUGGACGCAAGUCUGAACCAGCCAUGCCGCGUGAAGGAUUAAGGUCCCCUGGAUUGUAAACUUCUUUUAUCUGGGACGAAAAAAGGCGAUUCUUCGUCACUUGACGGUACCAGAUGAAUAAGCACCGGCUAACUCCGUGCCAGCCGCCGCAGUAAUAC